GGUUGAGUUGAAGCAUGGCGUAUGCCGGAGUUCCCUCCACCGCCUUUUCCUCCGUUUGUGUUACAAAUUCACACCAAUCUAUUUUCCGGAGAAGCUAUUACCUUAAACACACCCCUUCACGCUCUAAUUUCCCAUCUCUCUCCGCUACUCAUGCCGGCGCCACCAUCAACGGCGAUGAUACUUCUAAGGGACCAGGAGAGGAAAAAUGGGAUGCUUCUCAGUACCAAGCCUUGCUCAAAGGUGGAGAGCAGGUCACCUCUGUUCUUGAAGAGAUGAUUAAGCUCUUGGAGGAUAUGAACAUGGAUGAAGCAUCUGAGGAGGUGGCAGUCCAAUUGGCUGCACAGGGAGUCAUUGGCAAGAGAGUUGAUCAGAUGGAGUCGGGGUUUAUGAUGGCUCUCGAUUACAUGAUACAGCUUGCUGCACGGGAUGAAGAUGAUAAGAGGAAGUCACUCUUGGAGGUUAUUAAGGAGACUGUACUAUCUCAUCUGACGAAAAAAUGUCCUCCUCAUGUUCAAGUUGUUGGCCUGCUCUGCAGAACACCCCAAAAGGAGAGCAGACAGGAAUUAUUGAGGCGUGUGGCUGCAGGUGGCGGCGUAUUUCAAGGUGACAAUGGCACAAAAGUUCAUCUUCCAGGGGCCAAUUUGAAUGAUAUAGCUAACCAGGCUGAUGAUCUUCUGGAGACAAUGGAAUCCCGUCCUGUCAUUCCCGAUAGAAAGCUACUUGCAAGGCUUGUUUUGAUCAGAGAAGAAGCCAGGGGCAUGAUGGGUGGUGGAAUACUAGAUGAAAGAAAUGAUCGCGGUCUCAAUACGCUACCUGAACCAGAGGUCAAUUUUUUGGCUAAACUUGUUGCUCUAAGACCAGGAAUAACUGUACGCAACAUGAUAAAAAGUGUAAUGCAAGGAAAGGAUGAAGGUGCAGAUAAUUCUGAUAACCAAGAAGGUGCAGGAAGGGCUAGCAUUACUGGUCGUAAACCUUUACCUGUGCGACCUGGCAUGUUCCUUGAAACUGUUUCCAAGGUAUUGGGUGGUAUAUAUGCAGGAAAUACUUCUGGAAUCACAGCACAACAUCUAGAAUGGGUUCAUCAGAAUACACUGCAAAUUCUUCAAGAAAUCGCAUUCUAGUUCCCUCCGCAGUAAUCGCAUCAGGUCAGUUCUGCAAGCUGAGUGCUCAGUUUCUCCUCAUCACAAGGUUCUAUUAUCCUGUGGAGGUACAGAACUAUGUUAAAACAGGUUGAAAGCCAGUAUCGGUGAUGAAGCCUUGCUUCUCUGACGUGAACUAUAUAUCUCUCUCUGGUUUAAAAAUAUUUUAGCAUGGGAAAAAGGAGUUAAAGGGGUGGUCAUGAAGUGCUGGAAUAUUUUGUGUGUGAUGCAUAAUCUUGCAAUGAUAAAGCAAAUCAGAGGUGAAAUGCUUGUUGAGUUGUAUUGAAUCAGUAGCAAUGAUGACUGAAAUUCGAAAUUGUGGCAACAACCAUGUGUGCUAUUGGGCCUACAUCUGUUGUGGCAGUGAAGAAUCACGGUAACCAUGGACCACCUGAAACAUGGUUUAUGGGAACACUUUGCUAGAAGAGCUCGUCCAUUUACACGGGUCGGGGUCAUACUGUAUUUUUGCAGUGUUUCAUGUUUCAUCUCAUGUUCGUAUAUUCAUUAUUGUAUGCUAUGGGUGGGGAGGAUAUUAUGCUGCAUCUGUUGGGAGUCACCUUCUUCUGCUCUUGGUCUUGGAGCAAAAGGUGAAGCACAUGAUGUUGCAGAGAAAGAGUAAAAGAGAGAAAGCAAAGCACGUGCAUGUUAGUGGUUAAAUAUGCUUGGGAGUGUGUGUAUCAUUGAGCUUUUAAAUAAAUAGUGAAAAUCUUUUUUCAUAAGAUUUCUCAAUCUUA